rnacentral:rRNA from 1 species
AUUGAACGCUGGCGGCAGGCCUAACACAUGCAAGUCGAACGAGCGGCGGACGGGUGAGUAAUGUAUGGGAACCUGCCUGAUGGAGGGGGAUAACUACUGGAAACGGUAGCUAAUACCGCAUACCAUCAGAUGACCCCAUAUGGGAUUAGCUUGUAGGUGGGGUAACGGCUCACCAAGGCGACGACCCCUAGCUGGUCUGAGAGGAUGAUCAGCAAAACUGGAACUUAGACACGGCCCAGACUCCUACGGGAGGCAGCAGUGGGGAAUAGUGCACAAUGGGCGCAAGCCUGAUGCAGCCAUGCCGCGUGUAUGAAGAAGGCCUUCGGGUUGUAAAGUACUUUCAGUGGGGAGGCGUUAACGACAGAAGAAGCACCGGCUAACUCCGUGCCAGCAGCCGCGGUAAUAG